rnacentral:rRNA from 1 species
UACGGAGGGUGCGAGCGUUGUUCGGAAUCACUGGGCGUAAAGGGCGUGUAGGCGGUCCGCUAAGUCUGAUGUGAAAGCCCGGGGCUCAACCCCGGAACGUCUUUUGAAACUGCCAAGCUAGAGUGCGGAAGAGGCAACUGGAAUUCCCAGUGUAGCGGUGAAAUGCGUAGAUAUUGGGAAGAACACCUGAGGCGAAGGCGGGUUGCUGGGCCGACACUGACGCUGAGGCGCGAAAGCGUGGGGAGCAAACAGG